AACUUUUUGGCCUCAUUGCCUUCUACUAGUCAUAUAGAUAGACCUCUUUUGGACUUAUCCACUCUUUAUAAAAGUCUUAAUAUACAAUGACUUAGUGCCCCCAAAAAAUCAAUGUAAAGUAUCAAUAAGAAAGACCGCAAUUGAUUGGUCCCUUGGUUAUAUUAAAAACCUUUGGGUCACCCAAAAUUUAAUAUGAGUUCGAACUCUCGUGGGAAAUCAAAAUGAUAGUAUAAAACCACUCUAGAAGAGUAUAUGACC